rnacentral:rRNA from 1 species
UACGAAGGGGGCUAGCGUUGUUCGGAAUUACUGGGCGUAAAGCGCACGUAGGCGGAUUAGUAAGUCAGGGGUGAAAUCCCGGGGCUCAACCUCGGAACUGCCUUUGAUACUGCUGAUCUCGAGUCCGGAAGAGGUGAGUGGAAUUCCUAGUGUAGAGGUGAAAUUCGUAGAUAUUAGGAAGAACACCAGUGGCGAAGGCGGCUCACUGGUCCGGUACUGACGCUGAGGUGCGAAAGCGUGGGGAGCAAACAGG